UCCUGCAGCCAUAUCACCUUGCAACUCACAACUGUCAAGGUAUGAGCUCAGCAGGUAUGAGCCUGGUCAGUACCUGGAUGGAAGACCUCCUGGGAAAGCUAAUGUUGCUCCUGGAA
rnacentral:rRNA from 1 species